UGAGCAUGAGGAACCUGAAAAGGUACAAGGCU
rnacentral:piRNA from 1 species